GUGCCAGCCGCCGCGGUAAUACGAGAGGCCCAAACGUUAUUCGGAUUUACUGGGCUUAAAGAGUUCGUAGGCGGUUUGGUAAGUGGGGUGUGAAAUCCCUCGGCUCAACCGAGGAAUUGCGCUCCAAACUGCCAGGCUUGAGGGAGAUAGAGGUGAGCGGAACUGAUGGUGGAGCGGUGAAAUGCGUUGAUAUCAUCAGGAACACCAGAGGCGAAGGCGGCUCACUGGGUCUUUUCUGACGCUGAGGAACGAAAGCUAGGGGAGCAAACGGGAUUAGAUACCCCCGUAGUCC
rnacentral:rRNA from 1 species